AUCCUAAUUCAAAUUAAAACCCUAAUUCCAUUGCCUGCCUCCUCCUCCUCCUCCUCCUCCUCCUUUUCUUCAGUGUCUUUUCUCUCGUCACUGGUAUUAAAUACACUUUUUAUAGUUACGUACAAGGAACUGGUGGGUACUUUAGCCACCAAAUAAUUUUAAUGUUGAUGGAGAGUGGCAAGCAGAAAUUUCCUCCGCUGAUCACAUUCUUGCCUGAUCAUUUCGCAAUCUCAAAGUAUGAGGGAGGAGUUUCUUGAGGUUUGCUGAUUCUCUCAUUCAGCUGAAUCUCAAGAAAGCCUUUCCUGUUCCAUGUAAUAAAGGCAUCUCUCUCUAUUGUCGUCCCCUCCCCUUCAAUUUUUGUCUCGUUUAUUUGUUACCCAUACAUCUACUUCUCCAGAAUGCAAGAACAACAACGUUUGUUCUCUCCAACGACGACUCCAAAGAUUUUUCUUUUCUUUUCUUAGUUUUUUUCUUUCUCUUUGUACUUAAUACAUGAGUGUGGCCAAUCUUAUUAUAUCUAGUUCUCUGCUUCAUUUCAUUUUAAAAUAAUCUGAAGAUAUCAAGGCAUAUCAAAGGUGAAUGUGCAGUUCGUCUCUCCAUGUCCUUUCUACUAUUUCUGGUCAGUUGUGCUGUCUGUACUGCUAUUAUGUGUGUGGCGGAUUGGAAUGGGGACCUGCUAAUGAAGGCAAAGGCAAAAUGGUAUUGUCUUCUGCAGUUAUGGUUUUGUGAAGGAUGCAUAGAGGGAUUGCCGGCAUUUAUGGCGAGCAUGUUCCUCACAAGUUGGCAUUUUCAGUAAGCUUUUGAAUAUCAUACCCGGAGCCCUGUUCUGUUCAAUUUUGUUUUUCAAACUAUGUAUCAGUUUAAAUUGUAUAGCCUUCAUUGUUGAUGCCUUGGGUAUAUUGUUUUGGUAAUAAUGUGGAAAAAAUUGAGAUACGUUUUCAUUCUCCUACUUGAAGCUGACAAAAUAUUAGAUGAGACACUCAUCAUCUUCUCAUUUGUAUCAGUUACAUUUGGAGGGCAUUGAUGUGCUUUAAACCUGAAAGCAAAUUGUGAAUGUGUGAUCUCGUGUAAAUUAGUGUAGUAGAAACUCUGCACAUUUUUGUUCUAUUUUGUUAUGCCACAUAGUUAAAUUGAAAUAUCUUGUUUCAAUAUACCUGAUUUUUAUUUA